GGCUGGAAGGAGAAAGGAAAGGCAGAGGAACAUACAUCCCUGCCUCAUGGUCAACUCUGCAAUAAGUGCAGAGGGCAUAAAGCAAUCUUGGACAUCGCUGGAUUUACCUAGUGGGCAGGAUAACACUGAAACUUUACAAGCUGCUGGGAGAGGCUGGAUAUGUGUUGGAGAAAGUCCCAAACUUCAAGAGAAGUCCCGUGCUUUGUGUCUGAAGGUGAUGGAGCCCCUCAGGAGUAAAAUACUGAAAGAUUCAGUUGACACCUCUGCUGUCAGAUGUAACUGUAUAAAGAAGAACUUGUCAAGGUCUUUCCAUUUUGGAAAUCUGCUCUCUAAAAUAAACUGAUAACAAAGCA